ensembl:lncRNA
CCAGCAACAAAGAAAGUUUCAGUUUAAUGCCCUUUUUCGGAGAGUGCGUACAGAAGCAAAGCAAUCUUUGAGUUGAGUCUUAGUUGUCUAUUGAUUUAUUAAUUUAAUUAUUUUUUUGUUUUUUUAAUGUUUACAUUUCUGUAUAAAUAAUGUCACCACUCUGUGCAUCAGAAUAUAUAUUAAAAGGUGUUAUUGUGUCCAGAAGAAAAUUAAGUGUUUUUAUUAUGAAUAUCAGUCCCAAAACGUACAUGUCAUGCUUAAUUGCUCAGUGUGUCCAACCUUUCAUUCGUUCAUCUUCAGAAGGCACUUUAUCCUGAUCAGGGUUGCAUUGGAGCUGGAGUCUAUUCCAGGAACACUAUGUGUGAGUUGGGAAUACACUGGGAUGCCAGGCUAUCACAGGGCACCGUGCACACACACAAACAUUCACAAUUAGGGGCAAUUUAGAGUCACCAAUCCACUUACUGGUAUGUCUUUGAGAGGUGGGAAGAAACCAGAGCCCCCUGGAGGAAGCUCAUGUAGACACAGAGAGAGCAUGAGAAACUCUGCACAGACAGUAACCUGAAUUCAGGAACCCUGCAAAUGUAGCAGCAAUUCCUCCCUAGUUAUUGUAUUGAUUAUAUUAAAAUAAUUGCUUCUUACUAAGCUCAAAGUACCUAAAAGCACUCAAAGCUAUGCUGAAACUCCACCAACCCUUGCACACAUGUCCAACAAUAGUUCUAAGAGCAAAUAAAGUCUAGUUAGUGAAUGUACAGUAUAGUGGGCAAACAUUCAAGCCAAAUGAAAUAGCAUGACUCAAUUGAUAAACCCACACACUCACUUACACAUGCACACACCCAUGCUCUCUCUCUCUCUCGCACACACACCGACACACAAAGCCCACAUAUAAUAGUGGCGCCCUCUUUUGAUCAUGUGAAUUAACCAAACAGACUUAAUCUGACAUUAAAAUAAUUCAUAAUAGCAUUCAGAUUUUUAAAGUAUUUAUCAUUUCUAGUUCUUGAAACAUGUGUGACAUGUAAUUAUGCUACAUAUUAACAAUGCGCUACAGGUUUUCCAUGAAGCAGGACAUUUUGGACUCCAUCCAUAACUCCACCCAUUUUCCAGUCUGCAUUUACACUGUCAUGCCUGUUGCCCACACCAUGAAAGUCUUGAAAGUCUUGUCUAUUUUGGAGGGUAUUGAGCAAAUGGUGCUUCCUCGUUCACCUUGUUCUGAUGGGAGUGAAAAAGAGACAUAGGUACGUCAUCCAGCCUUUCAAAUUGCGAGGUUUUACUGCAGCGGAUCAUCUUAGCGAUCACAACCACAAUCACCAAGGCCAAAGUGAUGAAGAAAAUGCACAAGAUAGCCACAAGGCCUGGGUUUCUUGCCAAGCUGUCGUCUCUGUCAUUACUUGAAGC